AGCCUCAGAGCAGCUUGUUCACUGUUCCCUUCAAGACUGGUUUUGAGCUUUAUUGUUUGUCAUCGCAAAGGAUCUCAAGAGGCAAAUAAGAUGCUGCAGGAAUAAUCCAUGUGUUCUGUCCUUCAUUCCACCGGAGUCUGUAUCUGUUUUUAACCAGAUUUCAGUGGUGUGAAGUAUAAAAGACUUGGGGAUGUAACUUCACAGGCCGGCCAGAACGCCAGAAGGCUAUCAAGGCAUAACAAGAAUUUCAGAUUGCUUCCAAUUUAUGCUCUGUUUGUCAGAAACCAUUCUCAAACAAAGCAACUGUACUAUUUUUCUAGUGUUUGUGUCCAUUAUGUGUGGGUGUGUGUGUGUUACAUUUUGUAUGUGAGGCUUAAAGUGUUAAGUAAAAAUUGCAAUGGAACAUGAAUAAAUCUGACCUCGUGCCCUUUA